rnacentral:rRNA from 1 species
GACGAACGCUUGCGGCGUGCCUAAGAAAUGCAAGUCGAGCGGGAGCAGCAAUGCUCGUAGCGGCGAACGGUCGCGUAACACGUAAGCAACCUGCCCGAAAGACCGGGACAACACUCCGAAAGGGGUGCUAAUACCGGAUGUGCCCAUUCCCUUGCAUGUGGGGAUGAGUAAAACGCGCGAUUAACUUCGCCCUAACCAAGCUGCUUAUGCGGUUCUGUUGAUAACAGCAGGANGUGGAGGCGUUUUGGUUAGGUUGAGGAGAUGUGGCGGCUUUUGGAGGGGCUUGCGGCCUAUCAGAUAGUUGGUGGGUAACGG